GAAAGGCAGUCGGUGAGGAAAGUCCGGGCUCCAUAGGGCAAGGAUGCCGGGUAACGCCCGGUGAAGGUGACUUUAAGGAAAGUGCAACAGAAAAAUACCGCCGAAUUUAUCGGUAAGGGUGGAAUGGUGAGGUAAGAGCUUACCGGCAGGCUGGAGACAGCCUGGCCCUGCAAACCCCAUCCGGAGCAACACCGUGGAGGAAUAACUGUGACCCGCAGGUUCCGAGGAGGUGGCUUGAAUUAACCGGCAACGGUUGAUCUAGAUAGAUGGUCGCUCACGACAGAAUCCGGCUUACAGACUUACUCAUCUU
rnacentral:RNase_P_RNA from 1 species